AAAAUGCCUCCAGGUCUCCUUUCAUGAACCGCACGUUUGAGAUCUCCCCAGAGUGAGUCGAUGAUAUUAAGGUCAGGAGACUGUGAUGAUCACUUCCGAACCUUCACCUUUUUUGCUGUAACCACUGGAGAGUCAUCUUGGCCUUGUGCUUAGGGUCAUUGUCAUGCUGCAUUAUUCUUUCCAUCAAUUUCCCCAUGCCUUUAGAG